GACACAUUCAUGCAUGUAUGCCAGUAGAGUUAAAUGAAAAGACAUACACCUGGGAGAUAUAAAUACAGGUCUCACCUCCAUAAAGUGGAACUGCAUUUCAAAUGUCAGCAGGGAAGGCAUGGAGAUUCUGGAAAAUCUUAGAAAGAUAUCAUCCUACAAGCAUGACUGAAAGAAAGCCUCCAGCCUUUUCAAUCCUCUUGACAUCUGUGACAUCUGUUUCACACCCUUUCAUUAAGUGAUGCAGAAUGGGAGAUAAAACAGAAGAAUCUAUCAGAGGUCAGAAGUGGAACAAGAAGGAAAGGCAAUUGGUGGGGAGGAGCAAGGAUUCUCUAGAGUUUCUCAUUCAGGAAGACAUAUGACUAUUAAUGUCAGAUGUGAAUGCCUACUGUAUGAAGAUUUUGAAGCUAUAUGCAGUUGGAGUGGGUUGCUGUCCUUGAAACAGAAACCCACUUGAAAAUGAAAAGUUCAACACACCUAGUGGUUUGCUCCUCCUUCACUCCAAGGUUUAAGCCAUAGGACUGCCCUUUAUGUAAUUCAACAAAGAAAAUUAUAGCUCAUAAGAGACGUGCAAAGAUCUUGACAUUGUAUUACACUCUCAGUUUCAAACCCAGGCCG